rnacentral:sRNA from 1 species
GAAACUAUGCUAAACUUGUUCAAGAACUGUGGCACAAAAAAAGGCCCAGCUAUGUUGUGCCCAAUGGUGUUGUUUCAAGAAUUAAAACAGUUCAUCCAAUGUUUAGAGGCUAUACACAACAGGAUGCCCAAGAGUUUCUGAGGUGUCUAAUGGAUCAGCUCCAUGAAGAACUGAAGUUACCAGAUGACAGUGAUAGCGAAGAAGAUGAAACUGUUGGUGCCAGGGGAGAUGACGAUGACGGCACUACUAAUGCCAACUCAAGCAAUAUUGCAUCUGAUCUUAAG